rnacentral:rRNA from 1 species
ACGAACGCUGGCGGCGUGCUUAACACAUGCAAGUCGAACGGUGAACCUCUUCGGAGGGGAUCAGUGGCGAACGGGUGAGUAACACGUGGGCAACCUGCCCCCGGCUCUGGGAUAACUCCAAGAAAUUGGGGCUAAUACCGGAUGUUCACCGCUUCCCGCAUGGGUGGUGGUGGAAAGGGUUUCCGGCUGGGGAUGGGCCCGCGGCCUAUCAGCUUGUUGGUGGGGUAGUGGCCUACCAAGGCGACGACGGGUAGCCGGCCUGAGAGGGUGACCGGCCACACUGGGACUGAGACACGGCCCAGACUCCUACGGGAGGCAGCAGUGGGGAAUAUGGCGCAAUGGGCGGAAGCCUGACGCAGCGACGCCGCGUGGGGGAUGACGGCCUUCGGGUGGUAAACCUCUUUCAGCAGGGACGAAGCGCAAGUGACGGUACCUGCAGAAGAAGCACCGGCCAACUACGU